rnacentral:rRNA from 1 species
AGAGAGAGACAUGCGCGCAUAUCAAUAAGCGGAGGAAAAGAAACUAACAAGGAUUCCCUUAGUAACGGCGAGUGAAGCGGGAAGAGCUCAAAUUUGAAAUCUUCAAGGUUUUACCUUGACGAAUUGUAGUUUAAAGAAGUGUUUUCUGCUGAAGUUUUGGUAAAAGUUCUUUGGAAUAGGACAUCAUAGAGGGUGAGAAUCCCGUAUUUGACCAUUAUUUUCAGCUUUGUGAUACACUUUCAAAGAGUCAGGAUUGUUUGGGAAUGCAGUCCAAAAUGGGUGGUAAAUUUCAUCUAAAGCUAAAUAUUGGCGAGAGACCGAUAGCGAACAAGUACCGUGAGGGAAAGAUGAAAAGAACUUUGAAAAGAGAGUUAAACAGUACGUGAAAUUGUCAAAAGGGAAGCGUUUGACACCAGUGUUGUUUUCUCGAAAAUCAAUUAAAAAUGGCUCGAUUUUGUAUUGCUGAGACCUUAAAAGCUCACUGUACAUUUUUCGUGUCUUUUUUAAUGCACUUUUCGUUUAACAAGUCAACAUCAGUUUCUUUUGUUGUAAAAGGGUCAUUGGAAGGUGGCUUUCUUUUCGGAGAAAGUGUUUAUAGCCUUUGGCCUCUGCAAUCGAAGAGACUGAGGUCUGCAGCGUAGACUCUUCGGGGUUAGAUACAUUUGUGCUAAGUUAUAGCUUUUUAUAGACAACUUGUUGACUAUAAUUAGUCUUGUAGCUUACUCGCUUAUGCUAUUUUACCUACGCUUAGGAUGUUGAAGAUGUAGCACAUCAU